rnacentral:lncRNA from 1 species
AUUUAUUUCUAUAUAUUUCUUUCUAAUAUGUAAUUUUUUUUUAUGCUGCUUCACUGCAGGGUGUCAGAGGGACAGACGGUCUGCUUGGAGUUAUUGGGAAUGAAGGAUACCCUGGUGAUCAGGGGCACAGAGGGGCCGCUGGCAGAGCAGGACCACCAGGCAGUCCAGGUCUGGCUGGAGCUCCAGGGACACAGGGCAUGCUGGGAUUGGCUGGUCUAAAGGGUUCCUCUGGUCACAUGGGAAAUCCUGGCCCGCCGGGACCACUCGGACCUGAGGGAAUUCCUGGAAUACGAGGAGGGAAAGGAAGUGCCGGUUCUCCAGGACAAAAUGGACUUCCAGGUGUUCGAGGCUCACAGGGGCCGGCUGGAGAACAGGGACAGAAGGGAAAACCAGGCGUUCCUGGACCUGUGGGCCCACCAGGACGAAGAGGUGCUCAGGGGGACGUGGGCCCCCGUGGUCCCCCAGGCCGGACUGGAUUCCCCGGUGUUCCAGUGAGUCACUUGUAAAGAUCAGUGUUUUCACUGCUUUCGGUGGAAGUGAAUCUGAUCUAAAGUUUUGGUAUGUUCUUUUUUUCCGCAGGGUCUCUCCGGAAAGAAGGUUAGUGAGUUUCUUCUGGCCAGGAGGAAUUUCCAUUUAUUUUCUCAAUCUGAUAAUCUGGUGGAUCAGCUGAGUAGAAAUGACAGUGAUUUAGUACUGAGGACAUACGCAGUUUGUAAUAAUUUUUUUUGUGAAUUCUUUUUUAAUACAUUAAAAUUCUUCCUUUAGCCAUGGAGGUGAUAUUUACAGAGUUUUGAAAUUAACAAGAAGUUAAAACAAUGAUGCAUUUUAUACUGAAAGGAUGUUUAACGUACCUUCCUCAUCUCUAUAUGAAUUUUGAGCUCAUAAAUACCAUAAAACACUUUUCAUUAUAGACAUCACAGAAUAAAGAAAAACAUUUUCUAUUUCUGUUUUCUAAC